rnacentral:rRNA from 1 species
UGGAGAAUUGAGGGGGGUUGCUCCUAGUACGAGAGGACCGGAGUGAACGCACCGCUGGUGUCCGGGUUGUCACGCCAGUGGCACUGCCCGGUAGCUAAGUGCGGAAAAGAUAAGUGCUGAAAGCAUCUAAGCACGAAACUUGCCCCGAGAUGAGUUCUCCCUGAGCCUUUAAGGCUCCUGAAGGGACGUUGAAGACGACGACGUUGAUAGGCCGGGUGUGUAAGCGCAGCGAUGCGUUGAGCUUACCGGUACUAAUGACCCGUGAGGCUUAACCUUACAACGCCAGAGGCGUUUUG